rnacentral:tRNA from 1 species
GGGAAGGUAGCUCAGCGGUAGAGUGCAUGCCUUGCAAGCAUGAGGUUCGAUUCCU